CCGCCUACGGGAGGCAGCAGUGGGGAAUCUUGGACAAUGGGCGAAAGCCUGAUCCAGCCACGCCGCNUGAGUGAUGAAGGCCUUCGGGUUGUANAGCUCUGUGGGGAGGGACGAAAAAGGUGGUCAAGAUAACGGGCCACCCUUGACGGUACCUCCUUAGCAAGCACCGGCUAACUCUGUGCCAGCAGCCGCGGUAAGACAGAGGGUGCGAACGUUGCUCGGAAUCACUGGGCGUAAAGCGCGUGUAGGCGGACCAGCAAGUCAGGUGUGAAAUCCCUGGGCUCAACCUAGGAACUGCAUCUGAAACUGCUGGUCUUGAGUGUCGGAGAGGGAAGCGGAAUUCCUGGUGUAGAGGUGAAAUUCGUAGAUAUCAGGAGGAACACCGGUGGCGAAGGCGGCUUCCUGGACGACUACUGACGCUGAGACGCGAAAGCGUGGGGAGCAAACAGGAUUAGAUACCCUGGUAGUCCACGCCGUAAACGAUGAGUGCUAGAUGUCUCGGGUAUUGACCCNUGAGGUGUCGUAGC
rnacentral:rRNA from 1 species